AAUAGAUACCCUGGUAGUCCACGCCGUAAACGAUGUGUGCUAGAAGUCGGGAUAACUCGGUUUCGAAGCUAACGCAUUAAGCACACCGCCUGGGGAGUACGGUCGCAAGGCUGGAACUCAAAGGAAUUGACGGGGACCCGCACAAGUAGUGGAGCAUGUGGUUUAAUUCGAUGCAACGCGAUGAACCUUACCAAGACUUGACAUACUCGGCAAAGCUAUAGAGAUAUAGUGGAGGUUAUCCGAUGUACAGGUGGUGCAUGGUUGUCGUCAGCUCGUGUCGUGAGAUGUUGGGUUAAGUCCCGCAACGAGCGCAACCCCUACCUUUAUUUGCUAACAUUAAGUUGAGGACUAUAGAGAGACUGCCUACGCAAGUAGGAGGAAGGUGGGGAUGACGUCAAAUCAUCAUCGCCCCUUAUGUCUUGGGCUACACACGUGCUACAAUGGCCGGUAACAAAGGGCUGCAAACUGGUGACAGUAAGCGAAUCCCAUAAAGCCGGUCUAAGUUCGGAUUGAAGUCUGCAACUCGACUU
rnacentral:rRNA from 1 species